rnacentral:pre_miRNA from 1 species
AUCAUUGGGAUGCAAUUUGUUCAGUUUGUUGUCGGCUUCCAAAGGGCACACAUGCGCAUGGUUCAACACUGGGCAAAGUGUGUCUCAAUGC